rnacentral:rRNA from 1 species
UACGAAGGGGGCUAGCGUUGUCCGGAAUUAUUGGGCGUAAAGAGCUCGUAGGCGGUGUGUCGCGUCGGCCGUGAAAACCUGCAGCUUAACUGUGGGCUUGCGGUCGAUACGGGCAUCACUGGAGUUCGGCAGGGGAGACUGGAAUUCCUGGUGUAGCGGUGAAAUGCGCAGAUAUCAGGAGGAACACCGGUGGCGAAGGCGCCACUCUGGGCCGAAACUGACGCUGAGGAGCGAAAGCGUGGGUAGCAAACAGG